AGUGCUUGACCAUAGCGCUGGCUCAAACUCAUCUUGUCUGUCUCUUCAGCGACCUCGGAGGUAACAUUUUCGGCAGAAUAGUAGAAACAGCGAGCCAAGUACGAAACCUCCUUGUUGGAAGCCGGGUCUAGGUCACCUUCACGCAACACAUCGGGGAAAGUAGAAACCAGCCCGAAUUUUCUCUUCUUUGAACGAGGGGUACC
rnacentral:lncRNA from 1 species